GAUUCAAAUAGACAAUUAUCAAAUAUUCCAAGGAAUGUUCAAACCAUUGUAAAGUAAUGAUAUUUAGUACCAAGAUAUCACAUGAAGGAGUCAUGGCUUGACGAAACAAUGAUCGAGAAAUAAUUUUUGAACUGAUAAAAAAUUUCCUGAUCUGUAUUCUAACAUAGAAUGAUAACAAUUUGCAUUCGAUUUAAUUCAUGGAACAUCUUAAUAUGGCACGUGGCAAAUGUUUUCAUAUUGAUUCAUACGCUUAAAAUUUGUUAAAAUCCAUCGUCUAAGCUAGAUAUGAAAUUAGGAUAACACAUAAAUUUGAGCUCAACAUUCAUAAAAUCUGACUGGCAUUAAAUAUUAAAUUUUUUUCAGAAAAAACUGGACGUUCUAGAGAACCUGGAUGAGUACAAGGUGAAAUCUAAUGGGAAUCAUGUUGUCUUUGGAAAAUAUGCUACAAAAAUGACUGCUGAGAAAUUUUUCCGAUUUUUCGCACAGUGUCAAAGCCCAUGUAAAAAGACCUUAGCAUUAAGAUUUCUGAUGAGGACCUUCUUCAAUGAUGAGAUAUUAGCAACCAGGUCAUUGAGUGGUGCGGUCAGCAACGCACAUCGUACACUACCUCCGAAACCACCAUUAGACAUCAAAAUAAUAACGGAUGUUUAUUAUUUGGCGAGAAAUUUUUUGAAGAUUGAUACAUAUAUGUUUUGCAGAUUAGUUACAAGUUUAUGUGCGGAUUCUGUAAAAAAAAUGGGGAAGAAGAAAAAGAAGAAUGUGGAAAAACAAGAUGAUGAUCAGAAAUAGUGACUCAGGUCAUCAUU